GAUGAAGAACGCAGCAAAGUGCGAUAAGUAAUGUGAAUUGCAGAAUUCAGUGAAUCAUCGAAUCUUUGAACGCACAUUGCGCCCGCCAGUAUUCUGGCGGGCAUGCCUGUUCGAGCGUCAUUUCAACCCUCAAGCACAGCUUGGUGUUGGGACUCGCGUUAAUUCGCGUUCCCCAAAUUGAUUGGCGGUCACGUCGAGCUUCCAUAGCGUAGUAGUAAAACCCUCGUUACUGGUAAUCGUCGCGGCCACGCCGUUAAACCCCAACUUCUGAAUGUUGACCUCGGAUCAGGUAGGAAUACCCGCUGAACUUAAGCAUAUCAAUAAGCGGAGGA
rnacentral:misc_RNA from 1 species